rnacentral:rRNA from 1 species
CCUCAGUAGCGGCGAGUGAGCGGCAAAAGCUCAAAUUUGAAAUCUGGCGCCUUCGGCGUCCGAGUUGUAAUUUGAAGAAGCUACUCUGGAACUAGUCCCUGUCUAUGUUCCUUGGAACAGGACGUCAUAGAGGGUGAGAAUCCCGUCUGGCGGGGGUGCUAGUUCUUUGUAGAGUGCUUUCGACGAGUCGAGUUGUUUGGGAAU